AGUGAACGCUGGCGGUAGGCCUAACACAUGCAAGUCGAACGGCAGCACAGUAAGAGCUUGCUCUUACGGGUGUCGAGUGGCGGACGGGUGAGGAAUACAUCGGAAUCUACUUUUUCGUGGGGGAUAACGUAGGGAAACUUACGCUAAUACCGCAUACGACCUACGGGUGAAAGCAGGGGAUCUUCGGACCUUUCGCGAUUGAAUGAGCCGAUGUCGGAUUAGCUAGUUGGUGGGGUAAAGGCCCACCAAGGCGACGAUCCGUAGCUGGUCUGAGAGGAUGAUCAGCCACACUGGAACUGAGACACGGUCCAGACUCCUACGGGAGGCAGCAGUGGGGAAUAUUGGACAAUGGGCGCAAGCCUGAUCCAGCCAUACCGCGUGGGUGAAGAAGGCCUUCGGGUUGUAAAGCCCUUUUGUUGGGAAAGAAAAGCAGCAGGUUAAUACCCCGCUGUUCUGACGGUACCCAAAGAAUAAGCACCGGCUAACUUCGUG
rnacentral:rRNA from 1 species